GGGCCCCUACGGGGCGCAGCAGUGGGGGAUAUUGCACAAUGGGGGGAACCCUGAUGCAGCGACGCCGCGUGGGUGAAGAAGCGUCUCGGCGCGUAAAGCCCUGUCAGCAGGGAAGAAAAUGACGGUACCUGAAGAAGAAGCCCCGGCUAACUACGUGCCAGCAGCCGCGGUAAUACGUAGGGGGCAAGCGUUAUCCGGAUUUACUGGGUGUAAAGGGGGCGCAGACGGCGAUGCAAGCCAGGAGUGAAAGCCCGGGGCCCAGCCCCGGGACUGCUCUUGGAACUGCGUGGUCGGAGUGCCGGAGG
rnacentral:rRNA from 1 species